UCUGCUACGGAGGACGACGGCAGAAAUAUAAACACAGAAGAUUAGCAUAGCCCCUGCACAAAGAUGACAUGCAAAUUCAUGAAGUGUUCCAUUCAAAA
rnacentral:snRNA from 1 species